GACGAACGCUGGCGGCGUGCCUAACACAUGCAAGUCGAACGAAGUGGCGAACGGGUGAGUAACGCGUAAUCAACCUGCCCUUCAGAGGGUGACAACUGUUGGAAACGACUGCUAAUACCUCAUACGGUAGGUGGGGAUUGCGUCCGAUUAGCUAGUUGGGGGGGUAACGGCCCACCAAGGCGAUGAUCAGUAGCCGGUCUGGGGAGGAGGACGGCCACAUUGGGCAUGGGGAACGGCCCAGACUCCUUCGGGGGGCAGCAGUGGGGGAUCUUCCGCCAUGGGCGGAAAUCUGACGGAGCAACGCCGCGUGGGUGGAAGCAGCCUUCGGGUUGUAAAGCUCUGUUAAUCGGGGCGCGGUACCGAAAUAGAAAGCCACGGCUAACUACGUGCCAGCAGCCGCGGUAAUAC
rnacentral:rRNA from 1 species